CUAGAGAGUAGUUGCGGUAGGCGGAAUGUAUGGUGUAGCGGUGAAAUGCUUAGAGAUCAUACAGAACACCGAUUGCGAAGGCAGCUUACCAAACUAUAUCUGACGUUGAGGCACGAAAGCGUGGGGAGCAAACAGGAUUAGAUACCCUGGUAGUCCACGCAGUAAACGAUGAUAACUCGUUGUCGGCGAUACACAGUCGGUGACUAAGCGAAAGCGAUAAGUUAUCCACCUGGGGAGUACGUUCGCAAGAAUGAAACUCAAAGGAAUUGACGGGGGCCCGCACAAGCGGAGGAACAUGUGGUUUAAUUCGAUGAUACGCGAGGAACCUUACCCGGGCUUGAAAGUUACUGACGAUUCUGGAAACAGGAUUUCCCUUCGGGGCAGGAAACUAGGUGCUGCAUGGUUGUCGUCAGCUCGUGCCGUGAGGUGUCGGGUUAAGUCCCAUAACGAGCGCAACCCCUACCGUUAGUUGCCAUCAGGUGAAGCUGGGCACUCUGGCGGGACUGCCGGUGUAAGCCGAGAGGAAGGUGGGGAUGACGUCAAAUCAGCACGGCCCUUACGUCCGGGGCUACACACGUGUUACAAUGGUAGGUACAGAGGGCAGCUACCCAGCGAUGGGAUGCGAAUCUCGAAAGCCUAUCUCAGUUCGGAUUGGAGGCUGAAACCCGCCUCCAUGAAGUUGGAUUCGCUAGUAAUCGCGCAUCAGCCAUGGCGCGGUGAAUACGUUCCCGGGCCUUGUACACACCGCCCGUCAAGCCAUGGGAGCCGGGGGUGCCUGAAGUUCGUGACCGCAAGGAGCGACCUAGGGCAAAACUGGUGACUGGGGCUAAGUCGUAACAAGGUAGCCGUACCGGAAGGUGCGGCUG
rnacentral:rRNA from 1 species